GGUGUCCCGUCUACGCUCUCAAGGGUGGCCGCGCCUGAACCUUUACUCGUGAAGAGUGACACACAAACCAAGGCCAAACUAAAAAACAAAAUACGGAAAAGUGACCCCGCAUGUUUGGGAACCAUUUAAUAAGAGGCCUCAGGUGCGGGAGCCAACUUUUUGAGGCUGCGGAGUCCGAGCCAUUUUAACCGCUCUGCAUGCAUCCAUUCUUUCGUUAAUUUAAUAUUUACUGCCUCCUCCACUAGGUCUUGGCUGAACUAGGUUAUGGGGAAUGCGAUGAGCAAAACUGGCAGCCGUACCCUCCCGCAAACUGAAAAUCGUGUGAGAAAGCAGAUAUUAGGAAAUUAUCCCUUAUUAAAUAGGCCAUGGGUUUAUUCAGCUAAGUGCUUUGCAGGGAAGGAAUAUGAGAAAAGACCUGAGUGGGAUCUCGUUGAAGAGGUAGCUUUGGGGCUGGGAUCUGAAGGGCGUGGGUUGGGGACAGAGCUCUGCAGGCUGGGGGAAGGGUCUGGUGGAGGAUGUGCAGUAUGGGUUGUAUGCGGAAGACUGACGAGUAUGGCUGAGACUUAGAGGGAAUGGGGAAGAGAGGUGGAAACAGGCUAGAGAGGGUAAGCGAGAGUCUGGCCAUGCAGGGCCUUUCAGGUUUGUGCUAAGGGUAGCCGGGGGGCAUUUCUGUUUUAUGUGGGAAGGGGAUUGAACUGAUUGCUUUUCCCUUCUGAAAGGACCCCUUAGCUUUGGGAAGUAGAUGGGAAGGGUUUAGGAUAGGCAAGAGUAGAACAAGCAGGGAGGUGAGGAAGCUACUGAGCAUUCCAGGUUCUAGGUGUGGUGGCUUGAAUGGUGGUACAGUAAAUAAUGAGAAAAUGAUGGAUAAUAAUUAUAGUAAUACUCAAAGCUAACAUUUAUUGAUUGCUCACCAAAAGCUUUAUACUCAUUAGUCUGUUUAAUCCUGAGAACAAUGCAAUUAAGUAUUACUAGUACCAUUUUACAGAUGAAGUAAUGGAGGUUUAAUAACUUGCUCAAGUUCUCACAGUUACAAAACGGUAGAUUUGGAAUUCCAUCUCAUGCUGUCUGACGCCUUAAGCUUACCACUAUAAAUUCAAUGUGUACUCAGUGGUUUUAAAAAAGAUACAAAGCAAACCAAGGUCAGGAAUGAAUUCUUUAAACAAACCACACUGAUUAUGUGAUGUCGCUAGAGGCCACAUUAAGAUAGUAGAAUUUACAAGUUCUUUGUCACUUCAGCAUUUUCUGAUAGGCUAAAGAGGGAAUUUUGUGACUGUCAACAGACUACCUAUAGUUAUUUUUGAGUUGAUGCACUCUGAUAAGACUUAGUUUUUCUGGAAAAAAAAAAGUCAAUUGAUAAAGCACAGUCCACCUAACAGUUGCUGAUAGGAUACCUUUAAAGAAGGAAUCUGGGAUCUAGUUAUAAACACCUUGGUGGGGCAUGAGUAUCUUAGAUAUUGUGGAGUGACAGAAAAGCUUACUAGAAAUGUAACUCCAGAUCAGCUUCCAAAUCUUAUUUAUUGUUGGAAAACAAAGGUUUAUAAAAUCACUUGGACUUAUGAAACCUGAUUUCACCCACUGAAGGAAAAGAAUGGAUUCAACCAAGGCCAACAAUGAAGGCUUUUAGCACUGGUUAUGAGUAAAUUUCUCUAAGGAGCCAAAAGUUCAUAAAUUUUCAGAAUUUGAGUUUAAUCAGUAAGAAUUUCUUGGGUUUGUAAGUGAUAGCGGAAGACCUGGAGCCUCCACAUUAUUGUUUUGGUUAGAGGGAGUCCUGUCGAAUGUCUAGGAAUCCCUGAGAACUCACUAUGGUUGAUACCCUCUUUGGGAGUGCCUGGCUGACUGCCAUGAGCUCAGAGGACCAGUUUAGCCUCUAGGUCCAGGGCCUACAGUGCUGGGGAAGGGAGCUCUGCUUGGGAAAAUAUCUGGAGUCUGGCCAGGAAAAAUGUCUACAAAACCAAAAAAGAAAAAAAAGGACACUCAUAGCAAAAUUAAUGAACAUUUAUUAAAUGAUCACAAAAUUG
rnacentral:lncRNA from 1 species